rnacentral:rRNA from 1 species
GACGAACGCUGGCGGCGUGCCUAAUACAUGCAAGUAGAACGCUGAAGGAGGAGCUUGCUCUUCUGGAUGAGUUGCGAACGGGUGAGUAACGCGUAGGUAACCUGCCUGGUAGCGGGGGAUAACUAUUGGAAACGAUAGCUAAUACCGCAUAACAGUAGAUGUUGCAUGACAUUUGCUUAAAAGGUGCAAUUGCAUCACUACCAGAUGGACCUGCGUUGUAUUAGCUAGUUGGUGGGGUAACGGCUCACCAAGGCGACGAUACAUAGCCGACCUGAGAGGGUGAUCGGCCACACUGGGACUGAGACACGGCCCAGACUCCUACGGGAGGCAGCAGUAGGGAAUCUUCGGCAAUGGACGGAAGUCUGACCGAGCAACGCCGCGUGAGUGAAGAAGGUUUUCGGAUCGUAAAGCUCUGUUGUAAGAGAAGAACGAGUGUGAGAGUGGAAAGUUCACACUGUGACGGUAUCUUACCAGAAGGGGACGGCUAACUACGUGC